UUUUGAAAUUUCUCACUUCACGGUAUAAUUACCUAAGAACCUACAAAUGGUUGAUACAGGCUACACAUCAGCUGAGCCCGUGGGAGAGAGGCCCGACAAUUGGGUGCAGCCUGCAAUGCUGACCGCAACACAACCUGUUCUCGCGACAUCUGAUGGGUUCCGUUUAUGGCCUCCAGAUUAUACCCCAUCAAGAAAGUAUUGUUUAAUCUUACGAGGCCCAGUGUGGAGCAAACGUUUCGCUCGACCGCCCGCGAGACACCAUCUCAUCUCGCCGGUGGGAAUCUCCCGCGACAUAACCCAUGAUCCUUGUUAACAAGGCCAUUGUGAAUAAUGUGACAUAAUAUCUUAAGAUAA